GACAGAGGGUGCAAACGUUGUUCGGAAUUACUGGGCGUAAAGCGCGUGUAGGCGGCCCUGCAAGUCGGAUGUGAAAUCCCACGGCUCAACCGUGGAAGUGCAUUCGAAACUGCAGGGCUAGAGUCCUGGAGAGGAAGGUGGAAUGCUUGGUGUAGAGGUGAAAUUCGUAGAUAUCAAGCGGAACACCGGUGGCGAAGGCGGCCUUCUGGACAGUGACUGACGCUGAGACGCGAAGGCGUGGGGAGCAAACAGG
rnacentral:rRNA from 1 species